GAUGAACGCUGGCGGCGUGCCUAAUACAUGCAAGUCGAGCGAACAGACGAGGAGCUUGCUCCUCUGACGUUAGCGGCGGACGGGUGAGUAACACGUGGAUAACCUACCUAUAAGACUGGGAUAACUUCGGGAAACCGGAGCUAAUACCGGAUAAUAUAUUGAACCGCAUGGUUCAAUAGUGAAAGACGGUUUUGCUGUCACUUAUAGAUGGAUCCGCGCCGCAUUAGCUAGUUGGUAAGGUAACGGGUUACCAAGGCAACGAUGCGUAGCCGACCUGAGAGGGUGAUCGGCCACCCUGGAGCGGAGACACGGUCCAGACGCCUACGGGAGGCAGCAGUAGGGAAUGGUCCGCAAUGGGCGAAAGCCUGACGGAGCAACGCCGCGUGAGUGAUGAAGGUCUUCGGAUCGUAAAACUCUGUUAUGAGGUAAGAACAAAUGUGUAAGUAACUAUGCACGUCUUGACGGUACCUAAUCAGAAAGCCACGGCUAACUACGUG
rnacentral:rRNA from 1 species